CCCUUAGAUGUUCUGGGCCGCACGCGUGCUACACUGAGUGGAUCAGCGGGUCAGGUUGCGCGAAAGUGUUUCCUAAUCUUGAAAUCCGCUCGUGAUGGGGAUUGACGGUUGCAAUUUUCCGUCAUGAACGAGGAAUACCUUGUAAGCGCGGGUCCUCAUCCCGCGCUGAAUACGUCCCUGCCCUUUGUACACACCGCCCGUCGCUCCUACCGAUUGAAUGAUCCGAUGAAUAUCAUGGAUUGAGGAUGCAAGCAGGUUCGCCUGUCUUCAUCUUCGAGAAGUGAAGUAAAUCUUAUCAUUUAGAGGAAGGAGAAGUCGUAACA
rnacentral:rRNA from 1 species